UGACGUCAGAAAUCGUACACCAAUCGUUUAUGUAUUGUAUAUAAAUAGCUGAGAAGUGUCCAGGUUGGCAGAGAGGAGAGGACAGGAGGACACCGAGAAGUGUCCACUAUAUGGAGCCCGUGGUCAGGACAAUCACUUGACCUCCUCGGAUUCGUAAAUAGUCACGCCCAAUUUCACAAGGAAGCAAAGGACGUGAGCUAUGACGUAUUUGGGUACAAAGGUCACACGGGUACCUCCUGUUUCUGUCGGAGUGUGUCUCGACCCCUAUACCGCCGGGGAAGAGAAAUCGUGGAUGGGAUUUACGUGAUGAAAGCAAUGACAUGUGGUAAAGGAGUUGAGAUAGAUUGUGAUCAAUCAAAAACUGUAAGACAGGAAAAUGUAAUGAAGGUUGAGAAUGAAAUAGAAAACAACGGAAAUGUCGAGGAUGAAAACAGCGACGAUCCAAUUAGAUGACACGAUUUAUUAAAACUGUUAAGGUACCAAUUACUCUAAAACAUUAUAUCCAGCAGCGAUCAUUUGUUAACUACACGAUCACCGCGUGGAACACUGAUAAUAUAAACCAAAAUCUGAAGAUUCCUGUGUAAACAUUGGAGGAUACAAUCAUUAAUAAACAACAUCGUUUGAGGGUGAAUUCGAGAUUUUGAGGGUUUAAGGAAAUCGAUAUAUCACUUCAACGUCCCACCUGGAAGAUGGAAAGACACGCGAGUCAGUCAUGAACAGGUCUGUCCGGAUGGCGGGAUACCUAAUCAGAACCGUUUAUUUUGACUGCUGACAAUAAUUCCUAACUUUACGAAAACUGCUUGGAUAUAAUCGUAAUCAGAAAUUAUUUGUGUUAACUCUGAAAAUAUUGAAAUGAGUUAAAAUUUUUGAGUUUUGAUCUGUGGAAAGUGCAGUUCAUUUUUAAUGAACAUCGCCAAAUCCUUCGUAUCCACUAGGUAAUUGAUAUAAAGGCAUAAGGAACAACCUUCUCAUGCUGAGGCCUCGUUAUGUAGUUGUUUCUAGAUAGCCUGGCAGGUUAUAGUAACGAAAAGAUAUAGGAUCUGAAAUGAGUCCUCAUUUUGAGCUUUUACGAAAUUAGUAUUAUAUUUUUUUAUUUAUUUUUGGAAGCCUUGGCGAGCAAAAAUCAAAAUUUCAAGACGGGUUUCGUAAAAUCACAUAAGAAAUGAAAACAAAUAUAAGAUACUAGUACUUUUAUCACAUAACAUACCUUUCGAUAUGCUUUAAAGUGUAAAUAUGGAUGGCUGAUUAUGUGAUGAAAAGUUCUGUUCGAUAUCUGUACAUGUAUAUAAGUAUGUAAACAGAAUUAUGUACAAAGAUCAGUUGAUUAGCUUUGCAUUGUUUGAUUCAAAGUUUUAUUUUUUUUAAAUUGUAUAUAGUUUCUGACAUUAUUUUUAUUACAUUUUAUAGUUUUACAGUAUAUAAGCAUUGUUGUGUCUAAAGCCACUAGAAUACUUACAUAUUUCCACAGACUUAGAUACUCUAAUAUACAUGUAUGUCAAUGAUACAUUCUACAACAUAUUCUGCUUAAUACAAUGUAUAUAUUGAUAAACCAAUUAUAUUGUGUAGUGUGAUAUUAUACUUAAAAGUCAAAUACUAUAAAUACUGUUGUAGCCUGUGUAGUAUUAUCUGUAUACUAGUACGAUGAUCACGUGGAACACUAGUAAUAUGACCAUCGUGUUGAACGUUGAAUGCUUUCAAGGCUUGAAAACUUUAGAAGUAUGUUUUGAGGAUAACGGUACCAAUGAACGUCAGGAAAGUGUAUUCUAAUCAUCGAGAUUUUUUCUUAAAUUCAUAUAACUCUUUUGAAUAUUAUUCUGGAAGAUCUCAAAAACAGCAAACAAAGUGUGCAUGCGAGUCUAUUCAUGAACAUCUCUGAGCCAAAGACAGUGUGUCAACAUUCAGAACCGUUUAAUUUUGACUUUUGCAGUAUAGAAUACUAGUUUUCUAUGAAAAAAAUCGUAGCUUUGACUGGGAAAACCACGAUAUGUUUCUAUCGGAAAAGUGUCGUAUCUGACAACGAUAUUUAAGACGGAUUAUUAAAACCUGGCAUGUUUGUCCGAUGCCUAAAAUAUGUCCAUAACGAAAACUUCUUGUAUCACUUGGAAAACUGGAAAAGCAAAGACCGUCCGAAACUCUACACACCAAAUUGAUAACGAGUGUCUUUAAUAGAGGAGAUCACGUGACAUAAAGGAAUAAGGAACUUACUCGUCUUUAGGCCCACAUCGUCAAAUCUGGAUACUGGAGUAGAUGUAAAUAGCUUUAUACAGAUAAAUUGAUUAGAAUUUCAUAGUUUAUGGAUAUGUUUCUUCAGUGAUUGUGUUUGGAGUAAAAUUGUAGGUUUAAAUAAUUGCAUGUGAAUAUGGUUGACAUAGAUAGAUUUUCAGAUAUCAGAAUAGGUUGUAUAUAUGUAUACGGCAUUGUUGUGUAAGUCUUUUGCCAUUAACGUACAUUCUACUACUAGUUUUGUGUAAUAUUAGUUGUAUAACUAUCAACCAAAUAUUACUGUAUCAUGUAUGUCAAUAAUCUGGUUGUAUUUAUUACAGACCUAUAAUCAAAAUAGUGUGUACCCAUACAUGUAGAUAGUUUAGUGAGCUAUUAUCAGCAUGCAUGUUUAAAGUAUGUCUUAGGCUUGUGCAAGUUUUAGAUUUUUUUCAUUUUUUUUUUUUUUUUUUCAAAUUUAAAGAAUUAUGUUAACAAUAACAUUAAUUCAAUUUGCUAUUAAACAGAUUGAUCAAUCUAUAUCAUUAUACCCACUGCAAAUAUAGUUAUGUAACUGCUUUCCUUCCGAUGAAUUAAUUUGUCUUAAUUUAGGUUUCUUUGCAAGUCCCCAUCCAGAUUUUGACAUUUCUUCUGUUUCGAGUUUAGUCACAUGUUCUGAUCACUUUAGGUCUUCAGCAUGACAUUGUAUUACCUCCGAUUUUAUUUUUGUUUGUGUGUAGAAUGUAAGACAUUAUUUUCAAAACAUAACGCACUUAACAAUCCCCAUUAAUAUUUUUAUCCCAUCAUAAAUUCUCUACAUUAUCUACAUUUAGGGGGAAGGGCUCUAUUUUUAGGGUAAAAUUAUGUUUAAUGUUUAUUGAUACAAAAGAUGUUAUAUAUAUUAUUUCAUGUUAUAUAUGUGUACGGACAAAAACAAAACAAAAAAAAUACAAAAGAUAUUUGCAUGUGAAAUGUUUAUUCCCUUAGUACGUAUUAAUAGGACUUGUAUCUACAAUACUCGAAAAGAAGCUAAAUCGAAAUCAUAUGUUUACGACAUUGAAAAAAAAACUAAAACAUUACAUUGUAGUUGUGUUACGUAGGAUGUUAUAACUAAUAAUUAACUAAUCGCCAAUACUAAGAUAAUGAAUAUACCGGUGGGUGGCUUGUACUAUACACUUAGUAAUGACGUGGUAAAUGCUAUGUAUAAAGGUUACUAACGGUCUAUAUUAUUACUCUGUGUGUGUUUUGAAUAGUAUAACCAAGUCAAGCUCGUGUGAUAUAAGGUAUUAUACCUAAUGAUAGGCAGGUGAUAUCAAUUAUGUAAUGGAUGUUUGCAACAAGUGAUACCUUAAGCGCAGUGUGGUUAUAAGCUUCAGUCAAUUUAAAACAUAUAUAAAAUAUUCAUGUAAAUAUUGAUAUUUUUUCUUUUUCAUCUUUUUUUUAUCAAUAUCCCAUUUUUUCACACCUAUAUGUUUAACUUAUAGGCAUCUGAAAUGGGAAUGUAUUUUAUACGUCAGAAUUCUCUUACUGAACUGUGUUUUAUCUGAGAGCUGCAAUGUUGUCAUUUGUGCAAAUAGAACACGAUUAAAAUUCUGUACUGUGUACAUGACAUUUCCAUUUCAUUUAAAGAAGUCGCACCCAAUAUCAUGCCAUAUAUAAUCAAACAAUGCCAGACAAUGGAAAUAAUAUCAAGUAAAAUCUAAUGUGUUGGUUAUAUAAGCGAGCAGAGAACAUUGUAAUAAAAUAAAAUAAAUUUAAGAUUACGAUGAUCAUGUAUAACCAACCAGAAUGUGUUUCGGGAAUAUUCGUGAAAAAAAAAUGUUUGGUUUUUUUUAAAUGUCCUGUACAGCUGUAAUUACUUGUACCUAUGUCGUGAAUAAUAAAAAUGUUUGUUAAUUUAUGAAGAAUAAAACAUUGUUAACUUG